AGGACGAACGCUGGCGGCGUGCUUAACACAUGCAAGUCGAACGGUAAGGCCUUUCGGGGUACACGAGUGGCGAACGGGUGAGUAACACGUGGGUGAUCUGCCCUGCACUUUGGGAUAAGCCUGGGAAACUGGGUCUAAUACCGAAUAUGACCGUGACCUGCAUGGGUUGUGGUGGAAAGCUUUUGCGGUGUGGGAUGGGCCCGCGGCCUAUCAGCUUGUUGGUGGGGUGAUGGCCUACCAAGGCGACGACGGGUA
rnacentral:rRNA from 1 species